GAGUUUCUCGGGAAGUCUCGCGUGAUAACUGGCAUUCAUCAUUGUUGUGGAAAGCUGUAAUUGUUGGAAACGAAAUCCGCUUACCAGCUCUUCCAAGGUCCGCCUAGCGGCCGACUGGUGAAGGCGCUGGGGUGGAGGGUGGUCGCGGUUGGUGGCGGAAUUAUCGCUGGAACUGGACUCCUUCUGACGUCACUAACCUCUAACCUUCUCUUUUUAAUUUCAUCCUAUGGAUUUGUCACAGGGUUUGGGUGUGGGAUGGCUUACAUGGUAGCUUGCGUAGCAGUUCCUGCUUACUUUCGAAGACAUCGGCGACAAAAGAUGGCGGCAGAAAUGGCGUUUUGUGGUUCUGGAGUGGGGACAUUUAUCUUUUCUCCAAUAGUUCAAUAUGUUUACGUCACGUACGGAUGGCAGAAUCUUUUUAUAGUUCUAGCUGGAGUUGGUGUUCAGUGCAGCAGUGUAGGCCUUUUAUUUCGAUCAUUGUCCACUACUUCAACGACAGACUCUGAAAAGGUUAAAGAAAAAAUCGCAAACUGGGAAUUCCUUAAAAUGUUGGUUUCCAUAUUUCUCAUCUUGGUUUCUUCUUAACGGCCUUUGGAGACUCAAUAGUAUUCGGUCAUCUCGGAGAGUACGCAGAAACUUUAGGAUUUACCACGGACAAAGGAGCUUACCUUUAUUCAGUUAUAGGAAUUUUAGUUAUGAUUUUGAAAUUAUUGCAAGGCGUUGUUUUAGAUAGUAGAGGUUCCACAGUGUUACCAAUAAAACUAGCGAUAUUUUUCUUCUUCUUGGGAGGAAUGGCUACACUCAUUUUGUUUGUUUCUAAUGAAUAUAUUUUGUUACUGAUCUUUGCCACUAUUUUUGGCGCCAAUACUGCUGCAUCUGGUGGUGCAGUUGUGGUCGGAAUAUUGGAGACCUAUUAUGGAUAUGAACAUUUAAAACUUACGUUCGGGGUGAAUCUUGCUGUCAUUGGCAUCGGUAAUUUACUUGGCUCUCCAAUAGCAGGAUUGCUGUUCGAGGCCAACGAAACAUACACCCCUGUUUUGAUUCUGUUUUGCGUCACUAAAGUUUUGAGUAGCCUUUGUUUUUUGUUGGUCUACAAAUUUUCUUCACAAACACAAAAAACUUAUAUCACUGAAGUAAAAUUACCACAGAAGGAAGCUUUCUUGGAAGAUAAAACUGUGUUGACGCUUACUUCUGGAGAGAAAGUUCCUCUUCUGGUUGAAAAACUUCCUCGUAGAUAUUCUGAUGUUAUUAGUGAAAAUAUGGAUACUUUAUUAUGAGGGGGCUGAGGGUACCGAUCAUGAGUGUAUUGACAGAGCCUCUGGAUAAUGCGACUGUGAAAAUACCGACUUCUACCUGUCUGAAUGUAUACUGAUAAUAAAAGAUUACUGGAAAU
rnacentral:misc_RNA from 1 species